rnacentral:rRNA from 1 species
CAAAUUUAAAAUCUACCUGGUUUUCAGGUCGAGUUGUAAUUUGAAGAUACGUUUUUGACGUUCCGGGUUGAACUAAAUCCUUUGGGAUAAGGUAUCAUGGAGGGUGAGAAUCCCGUAUAUACCAACCAUAGGGAUGUUAUUUAAUACGUUUCUAAGAGUCGAGUUGUUUGGGAAUGCAGCUCUAAAUGGGUGGUAAAUUUCACCUAAUGCUAAAUAUAAGCGAGAGACCGAUAGCGAACAAGUACAGUGAUGGAAAGAUGAAAAGAACUUUGAAAAGAGAGUUAAAUAGUAYGUGAAAUUGUUGAAAGGGAAACGAUUGAAGUCAGUCAUGCCGGUGGGAAUCAACUUUGAGGAAACUCUGAGUGCACUUCUUCGCUUGGCAGGUCAACGUCGAUUUUGGAUKUCAUAAAAUGAUUGGGGGAAGGUAGCUCCUUYGGGAGUGUUAUAGCCCUUGGUAGAUGUGAUGUCUGGGAUCGAGGAUUGCAAUGGAUACCCUUUGGGGCUAGCCGCCUGAUCUCUAAUUGGUAUUGGGUUACGGAUAGCAUGCUGACCGUGAUCUAAUUAUUGGUUAAAAGGU